rnacentral:rRNA from 1 species
UACGUAGGGCGCAAGCGUUGUCCGGAAUUAUUGGGCGUAAAGAGCUUGUAGGCGGUUUGUCGCGUCUGCUGUGAAAUUUCGGGGCUCAACCCCCGAAACUUGCAGUGGGUACGGGCAGACUAGAGUGUGGUAGGGGAGACUGGAAUUCCUGGUGUAGCGGUGAAAUGCGCAGAUAUCAGGAGGAACACCGAUGGCGAAGGCAGGUCUCUGGGCCACUACUGACGCUGAGAAGCGAAAGCAUGGGGAGCGAACAGG